GAACCUCAUGGCCUUCACUGGGCGUGGUGGGGAACCCGGAAUUUUACUUUGAAAAAAUUAGAAUGUUCAAAGCAGGCCUUUGCUUGAAUUCAUUAGCCUGGAAUUAUAGAAUAGGACGUGUGGUUUUAUUUUGUUGGGUUCUAGGGCCGCCGUUAUGAUUAAUAGGGAUAGUUGGGGGCAUCCGUAUUCCAUCGUCAGAGGUGAAAUUUUUGGAUUGAAUGAAGACUAACUACUGCGAAAGCCUUUGCCAAGGAUGUUUUCCUUAAUCAGUGAACGAAAGUUAGGGGAUCGAAGACGAUCAGAUACCGUCGUAGUCUUAACCAUAAACUAUGCCGACUAGGGAUCGGGCGGUGUUAGUAUUUUGACUCGCUCGGCACCUUACGAGAAAUC
rnacentral:rRNA from 1 species